CCUUCGAUAGCUCAGUUGGAAGAGCGUGAGACUGUAACUGGUUACAUCAGUGGGGUCUAAUCCCUACGUCUCAGCGCAUCUCAAGGUCACUGGUUCGAUCCCGGUUCGAAGGA